rnacentral:rRNA from 1 species
CUACGGGUCGCUGCAGUGAGGAAUAUUGCACAAUGGGGGGAACCCUGAUGCAGCAACGCCGCGUGGAGGAUGACGCAUUUCGGUGUGUAAACUCCUUUUAUAUGUCAAGAAAAUGACGGUAGCAUAUGAAUAAGCACCGGCUAACUCCGUGCCAGCAGCCGCGGUAAUACGGAGGGUGCAAGCGUUACUCGGAAUCACUGGGCGUAAAGGACGCGUAGGCGGGUUGGAAAGUCAGGUGUGAAAUCCCACAGCUUAACUGUAGAACUGCACUUGAAACUUCUAAUCUAGAGUAUGGGAGGGGGAGAUGGAAUUAGUGGUGUAGGGGUAAAAUCCGUAGAUAUCACUAGGAGUACCUAAAGCGAAGGCGAUCUCCUGGAACAUUACUGACGCUAAGGCGUGAAAGCGUGGGAAGCAAACAGGAUUAGAUACCCGGGUAGUC